GGUCCCGUGGCCAAAUUGGAUAAGGCGCUUGACUACGGAUCAAGAGAUUGUCGGUUCGAGUCCGAUCGGGAUCG
rnacentral:tRNA from 1 species